UGAUACCAGAUUAAAGACUCUGCAAUAAAAGUCUGGGCAAUCAAAGUUGGGAGCAUAAAUUUUUAACAGGGCUAAUGGGAGAGAAUUUAUUGUAUCAGUGACAAGCAGAUACCUCCCACCUGGAUCGCAGGUCAUGGAUUUGAAUAAAAAUGGGAUGGUUUUACAGAUAAGUAUAGCAACCCCUCUUGCCUUAGAGCAAAAUGUAGAUUGGUAAACCUGUGAAACCCAGAUAUAUUUCAACUUCCGCUGUUCUGUCGGUCUAAUAUGGGUUUCCUGUAAGAAGAUUAUGUCUGAUGACAGUGACUUUAAAUGAGUGAAUACCUUAGCUCUCUUAAAGGCACUUCCAAGGCCUCUACAGUUCCAAGAGGUUAGUGUGAUAGGACUUACACCUGACCUGGAUGCAGAAUCAUUCUGCAUUUAAAGCAUAAAGAAAACAUAGAGUCGUGGCUGACAUAGCAAA